rnacentral:rRNA from 1 species
CCUACGGGGGGCAGCAGUGAGGAAUAUUGGUCAAUGGGCGCGAGCCUGAACCAGCCAAGUAGCGUGAAGGAUGACUGCCCUACGGGUUGUAAACUUCUGUUAUAAAGGAAUAAAGUGAGGCACGUGUGCCUUUUUGUAUGUACUUUAUGAAUAAGGAUCGGCUAACUCCGUGCCAGCAGCCGCGGUAAUACGGAGGAUCCGAGCGUUAUCCGGAUUUAUUGGGUUUAAAGGGAGCGUAGAUGGGUUGUUACGUCAGUUGUUAAAGUUUGCGGCUCAACCGUAAAAUUGCAAUUGAUACUGGCAGCCUUGAGUACAGUUGAGGUAGGCGGAAUUCGUGGUGUAGCUGUGAAAUGCUUAGAUAUCACGAAGAACUCCGAUUGCGAAGGCAGCUUACUAAACUGCCACUGACAUUGAUGCUCGAAAGUGUGGGUAUCAAACAGGAUUAGAUACCCCUGUAGUC